AUUGAACGCUGGCGGCAUGCUUUACACAUGCGAGUCGAACGGUAACAGGCCGCAAGGUGCUGACGAGUGGCGGACGGGUGAGUAAUGCAUCGGAACGUGCCCAGUCGUGGGGGAUAACUACUCGAAAGAGUAGCUAAUACCGCAUACGAUCUAUGGAUGAAAGCGGGGGACCGUAAGGCCUCGCGCGAUUGGAGCGGCCGAUGUCAGAUUAGGUAGUUGGUGGGGUAAAGGCUCACCAAGCCAACGAUCUGUAGCUGGUCUGAGAGGACGACCAGCCACACUGGGACUGAGACACGGCCCAGACUCCUACGGGAGGCAGCAGUGGGGAAUUUUGGACAAUGGGCGCAAGCCUGAUCCAGCAAUGCCGCGUGCAGGAAGAAGGCCUUCGGGUUGUAAACUGCUUUUGUACGGAACGAAACGGCUCUGGUUAAUACCCGGGGCUAAUGACGGUACCGUAAGAAUAAGCACCGGCUAACUACGUG
rnacentral:rRNA from 1 species